rfam:Brachypodium distachyon strain Bd21 chromosome 1, whole genome shotgun sequence.
UUAGCAGAUGACGAUAAGCAAGACAGGGACUCUGCAGCGCUUCCGAGUCAAAUCGGGACGCGGAUGAUGCAUUCGUCUAGGGGAAUCUCUGAUGCUAA